CAGCAGCAGCCGCGGUAAUACGGAGGGUGCAAGCGUUAAUCGGAAUUACUGGGCGUAAAGCGUGCGUAGGUGGUGGUUUAAGUCCGUUGUGAAAGCCCUGGGCUCAACCUGGGAAUUGCAGUGGAUACUGGGUCACUAGAGUGUGGUAGAGGAUAGUGGAAUUUCCGGUGUAGCAGUGAAAUGCGUAGAGAUCGGAAGGAACAUCUGUGGCGAAGGCGACUAUCUGGGCCAACACUGACACUGAGGCACGAAAGCGUGGGGAGCAAACAGGAUUAGAUACCCCCGUAGUCCCUGUCUCUUAUAA
rnacentral:rRNA from 1 species